rnacentral:rRNA from 1 species
AUUGAACGCUGGCGGCAUGCCUAACACAUGCAAGUCGAGCGAGCGGCGGACGGGUGAGUAAUGUCUGGGUAACUGCCUGAUGGAGGGGGAUAACUACUGGAAACGGUAGCUAAUACCGCAUACCAUCAGAUGUGCCCAGUUGGGAUUAGCUAGUGGGUGGGGUAACGGCUCACCUAGGCGACGCUCCCUAGCUGGUCUGAGAGGAUGACCAGCCAAAGUGGAACUGAGACACGGUCCAGACUCCUACGGGAGGCAGCAGUGGGGAAGAUUCCACAAUGGGCGAAAGCCUGAUGCAGCCAUGCCGCGUGAGUGAAGAAGGCCUUCGGGUUGUAAAGCACUUUCAGCAGGGAGGCGUUACCCGCAGAAGAAGCACCGGCUAACUCCGUGCCAGCAGCCGCGGUAAUUC